CCUACGGGGCGCAGCAGUGAGGAAUAUUGGUCAAUGGGCGCGAGCCUGAACCAGCCAAGUCGCGUGAGGGAUGAAGGUGCUAUGGAUCGUAAACCUCUUUUAUAAGGGAAUAAAGUGGGGGACGUGUCCUAUUUUGUAAGUACCUUAUGAAUAAGGAAAGGCUAACUACGUGCCAGCAGCCGGGGUAAUACGGAGGUUCCGAGCGUUAUACGGAUUUAUUGGGCUUAAAGGGUGCGUAGGCGGCCUUUUAAGUCAGCGGUGAAAGUCUGUGGCUCAACCAUAUGAUUGCCGUUGACACUGGGGGGCUUGAGUAUGUUUGAGGCAGGCGGAAUGCGUGGUGUAGCGGUGAAAUGCUUAGAUAUCACGCAGAACCCCGAUUGCGAAGGCAGCCUGCCAAGCCAUGACUGACGCUGAUGCACGAAAGCGUGGGGAUCAAACAGGAUUAGAUACCCGAGUAGUC
rnacentral:rRNA from 1 species